GACGAACGCUGGCGGCGUGCUUAACACAUGCCAGUCGAACGAUGAAGCCCAGCUUGCUGGGUGGAAGAGUGGCGAACGGGUGAGUAACACGUGAGUAACCUGCCCUGAACUCUGGGAUAAGCACUGUAAACGGUGUCUAAUACUGGAUACGACCUAUCACCGCAUGGUGUGUGGGUGGAAAGAUUUAUCGGUUCUGGAUGGACUCGCGGCCUAUCAGCUAGAUGGUGAGGUAAUGGCUCACCAUGGCGACGACGGGUAGCCGGCCUGAGAGGGUGACCGGCCACACUGGGACUGAGACACGGCCCAGACUCCUACGGGAGGCAGCAGUGGGGAAUAUUGCACAAUGGGCGCAAGCCUGAUGCAGCAACGCCGCGUGAGGGAUGACGGCAUUCGGGUUGUAAACCUCUUUUAGUAGGGAAGAAGCGAAAGUGACGGUACCUGCAGAAAAAGCACCGGCUAACUACG
rnacentral:rRNA from 1 species